rnacentral:rRNA from 1 species
GACGAACGCUGGCGGCGUGCUUAACACAUGCAAGUCGAACGCUGUAGCAAUACAGAGUGGCAGACGGGUGAGUAACGCGUGGGAACCUUCCCAGUGGUGCGGAAUAGCUCAGGGAAACUUGAGGUAAUACCGCAUAAGCCCCUAGGGGAAAGGAUUUAUCGCCAUUGGAUGGGCCCGCGUCGGAUUAGCUAGUUGGUGAGGUAAUGGCUCACCAAGGCAACGAUCCGUAGCNGGUUUGAGAGAAUGACCAGCCACACUGGGACUGAGACACGGCCCAGACUCCUACGGGAGGCAGCAGUGGGGAAUCUUGGACAAUGGGCGCAAGCCUGAUCCAGCCAUGCCGCGUGAGUGACGAGGGCCUUAGGGUUGUAAAGCUCUUUUGCCGGGGACGAUAAUGACGGUACCCGGAGAAUAAGUCCCGGCUAACUUCGUGCCAGCAGCCGCCGCGGUAAC